CAAUAUGAUUAGUGGUAACAUCCUUCUGCCUUUCUUGCUUCUCUGGACUCCAGUUUUUGCAGAAGAGAAUGGAGUCUUCCAAAUCCCCGGUGUCCUCUGGCAUCAGAAAGGAGAAUCUGCUGAAAUGAAAUGCAGUCAAAAUAAAGGUGCUAGCUACUAUCAGAUGUACUGGUACAGACAACGCCAAGGAGAGAGCAUGGAGUUCAUCGUGUACAAAACAGCCACUGGUGAUCCAGAGUUUGGCUCUGUGGAUAAAGAUAAAUUUUCUACUGUUAAAGAAUCUGCUACAAAUGGAUCUUUAACUGUGAAGGAUCUGGAUAUAGAGGACAGUGCUGUAUAUUUCUGUGCAGUAAGAGAACACAGUGUUACAGAGUUACUGCACUGCUGA